CCAAUCGAACUCGGAGAUAGCUGGUUCUCCCCGAAAUAGCUUUAGGGCUAGCCUCAUGUUAGAUAUCCGGAGGUAAAGCACUGAAUGGCCUAGCGUCCGAGAGGAUAGCGAAGCCUAUCAAACUAAGAAUGCCGGAAUAUUGAUGCAUGGGAGUCAGACAGUGUGAGAUAAAUCUCAUUGUCAAAAGGGAAACAGCCCAGAUCUACAGCUAAGGUCCCAAAUUGUAUCUAAGUGGAAAACGAUGUGGAAAUACGCAGACAACCAGGAUGUUGGCUCAGAAGCAGCCACUCAUUUAAAGAGUGCGUAAUAGCUCACUGGUCGAGCGUCUCUGCGCGGAAAAUUUAACGGGGCUAAGAUACAAACCGAAGCUUAGGCUGCACUUUUAGUGCGGGGUAGGGGAGCGUUGUGUAAGCGGAGAAACAGUAGCGUAAGCGGCUGUGGAGUUUACAGAAGUGAGAAUGCCGGAAUGAGUAGCGCGAAUGUGGUGAGAAUCCACAUGGCCGGAAACCUCAGGUUUUUGGAGGAAGGUUCGUCCGCUCCAAGUUAGGCGGGAGCUAAGGUGAGGCCGAAAGGCGUAGCCGAUGCACAGACGGUAGAGAUUCCGUCCCCACCGAAAGAUUUAAGCGCAGGGACACUUUUAGAAGGUCGGAGCCAGGUGUUGGUUCUGGUAGAGAUCGAGGGAAGAUUAGUACCGAAGUCCAGCUGGAUAAGAGGCGAGAAAAGCUGCGUGUAUAUCUAAGGUGCCCGUACCGCAAACCGACACAGGUAGGUAGGAAGAAGAUUCUAAGGCCAACGGGAGAAGGGUUGUUAAGGAACUCGGCAAGUUGACCCCGUAACUUCGGAAUAAGGGGUGCUCAUGAAAGUGAGCCGCAGAGAAUAGGCCCAGGCAACUGUUUACCAAAAACACAGGUUUGUGCUAAAUCGAAAGAUGACGUAUACGAGCUGACGCCUGCCCGGUGCUGGAAGGUUAAAAGGAGAUGUGCAAGCAUUGAAUUGAAGCCCCAGUGAACGGCGGCCGUAACUAUAACGGUCCUAAGGUAGCGAAAUUCCUUGUCAGGUAAGUUCUGACCCGCACGAAAGGCGUAAUGAUUUGGGCACUGUCUCAACAGCCCGCCCGGCGAAAUUGUAGUACCGGUGAAGAUGCCGGUUACCCGCGACAAGACGGAAAGACCCCAUGGAGCUUUACUGUAGCCUAAUAUUGGGUUUCGGUGUUGCAUGCACAGGAUAGAUGGGACGCUAGGAAGUGAGUGCUUUGGCAUUCAUGGAGCGGCCGUUGGGAUACCAUCCUUGCGACAUUGGAAUUCUAACCUGCGCCUUUGAAUCAAGGCGGGGGACAUUGUUAGGUGGGCAGUUUGACUGGGGCGGUCGCCUCCUAAAGAGUAACGGAGGCGUUCAA
rnacentral:rRNA from 1 species